AACGAACGCUGGCGGCAGGCUUAACACAUGCAAGUCGAGCGCAUCCUUCGGGGUGAGCGGCAGACGGGUGAGUAACGCGUGGGAAUCUACCUUUUGCUACGGAAUAGCUCCGGGAAACUGGAAUUAAUACCGUAUGUGCCCUUAGGGGGAAAGAUUUAUCGGCAAGAGAUAAGCCCGCGUUGGAUUAGCUAGUUGGUGGGGUAAAGGCCUACCAAGGCGACGAUCUGUAGCUGGUCUGAGAGGAUGAUCAGCCACACUGGGACUGAGACACGGCCCAGACUCCUACGGGAGGCAGCAGUGGGGAAUAUUGGACAAUGGGCGCAAGCCUGAUCCAGCCAUGCCGCGUGAGUGAUGAAGGCCUUAGGGUUGUAAAGCUCUUUCGCCGACGAAGAUAAUGACGGUAGUCGGAGAAGAAGCCCCGGCUAACUUCGUGCCAGCCGCCGCCGUAAGAC
rnacentral:rRNA from 1 species